rnacentral:rRNA from 1 species
GCUUGCUUUCUCAAGCGAGUGGCGUACGGGUGAGUAACGCGUGAGGAACCUGCCUCAAAGAGGGGGACAACAGUUGGAAACGACUGCUAAUACCGCAUAAGCCCACGACCCGGCAUCGGGUAGAGGGAAAAGGAGCAAUCCGCUUUGAGAUGGCCUCGCGUCCGAUUAGCUAGUUGGUGCGGUAAUGGCCCACCAAGGCGACGAUCGGUAGCCGGACUGAGAGGUUGAACGGCCACAUUGGGACUGAGACACGGCCCAGACUCCUACGGGAGGCAGCAGUGGGGAAUAUUGCACAAUGGGGGAAACCCUGAUGCAGCGACGCCGCGUGGAGGAAGAAGGUUUUCGGAUUGUAAACUCCUGUCGUUAGGGACGAUAAUGACGGUACCUAACAAGAAAGCACCGGCUAACUACGUGCCAGCAGCCGCGGUAAAACGUAGGGUGCAAGCGUUGUCCGGAAUUACUGGGUGUAAAGGGAGCGCAGGCGGACCGGCAAGUUGGAAGUGAAAACUAUGGGCUCAACCCAUAAAUUGCUUUCAAAACUGCUGGCCUUGAGUAGUGCAGAGGUAGGUGGAAUUCCCGGUGUAGCGGUGGAAUGCGUAGAUAUCGGGAGGAACACCAGUGGCGAAGGCGACCUACUGGGCACCAACUGACGCUGAGGCUCGAAAGCAUGGGUAGCAAACAGGAUUAGAUACCCUGGUAGUCCAUGCCGUAAACGAUGAUUACUAGGUGUUGGAGGAUUGACCCCUUCAGUGCCGCAGUUAACACAAUAAGUAAUCCACCUGGGGAGUACGACCGCAAGGUUGAAACUCAAAGGAAUUGA